rnacentral:rRNA from 1 species
UGAGGAAUAUUGGACAAUGGGCGCAAGCCUGAUCCAGCCAUGCCGCGUGCAGGAAGAAGCAUCUAUGGUGUGUAAACUGCUUUUGUACGGGAAGAAACACUCCUUCGUGAAGGAGCUUGACGGUACCGUAAGAAUAAGGAUCGGCUAACUCCGUGCCAGCAGCCGCGGUAAUACGGAGGAUCCAAGCGUUAUCCGGAAUCACUGGGUUUAAAGGGUCCGUAGGCGGUUUAGUAAGUCAGUGGUGAAAGCCCAUCGCUCAACGAUGGAACGGCCAUUGAUACUGCUAGACUUGAAUUACAAGGAAGUAACUAGAAUAUGUAGUGUAGCGGUGAAAUGCUUUGAUAUUAGAUGGAAUACCAAUUGCGAAGGCAGGUUACUACUUGUGGAUUGACGCUGAUGGACGAAAGCGUGGGGAGCGAACA